UUAGAAUAGUGAACACCUGUGAAGAUGAAACCAACGUGUCCUUUGACAUUGAAGAAUGGAUAAACUUUAUUCGAAUUAUUCAGAAUAUUUCAACUGAGCAACCGGAGGAGAUGAGCAGUUUAUCAGUUACAUUUCAAAAAGUGUCCGAAGAAAUUUGUUUAUCAUACGAUCCGAUAUUUAAUUGUGUAAAUUUAUAUCGAGCAGACAGUUGUGUACUUUUACACAGGUGCGACAUUGAAAAUAUUAUUUUGUUAAAUGGUAUAAUAUGUAGUAUAAUAGAAAUCUUGACAACGGCAUUCCCCUCUCCUUUUCUUCCUCUUCAUACCGAUAAUUGUUUGUAAUUGUUAGAAUAUGUACGAAUGUUACAUUAAUAAUAAUUAAAUUUAUAUUGUAAUUAUUGUAGGUUUAUCAGUUUAGUAAUUAUAUUUGUAAAAAAUAUUAUCCAUUUUGUGAAAUAAAUACUGUAUACUCUAUUUCAUUGUUUUAUUUACAUACAUUUUAAUUUACGACUAGGGUAUUUUUAUUGUGCAUCAUUGUCGUUCAUUCAAGUUGAGAUUUGAUAACUUGUACAGACAAGUUGGAUUUACUCUGUCAAGUCACGCCUACUACUACCACCACCACCAACACUAUUUUGUGAUUAUUGGUCGGGAGGGUGAGGGUGAACUUUACUUUUUACAUUUUCAUUCUCAUCGCUGUCAUUCCAUCAGUGGCAGCUUUACCAUCACCAUCAUCAUCACUAUCAUCAUCAUUAAUCAGGUGAACAGAAACAUGGAUUUGCAACAAAUCAACGCUGUAACCGAUCAGAACAGAAAACCCAUAUCCAAGCUGACCAGUCUACAGGAAGGAGAAGGUCAUUUGAUACUCGGGAUGAGGAUAGUGAAUGGCACAUUCGGUAAAAGUGUCAUGGUGGAGUUGGAAAAAACUGUAGUGUUUCUGCCGAAUCGAGCGACCCAUGUACUGGAGGCCAACAUCGAGAAGUUUGAACCGGAAAAAUACUUGCUUGUAUUCACAGGUCAGCAACUCAUUGGUGGUUACUCCAAGCCACUUGCCACAUUUCAAAUUGUUACGAAAUAAUAAUAAACAUUAUACAUUAUAUAAAUACACAAUAAUAAAAUCAUAAUUAUAAAUUAA